CCCUAGUAACGGCGAGUGAAGCGGCAACAGCUCAAAUUUGAAAUCUGGCGUCUUUGGCGUCCGAGUUGUAAUUUGCAGAGGGCGCUUUGGCAUUGGCAGCGGUCCAAGUUCCUUGGAACAGGACGUCACAGAGGGUGAGAAUCCCGUACGUGGUCGCUAGCCUUUACCGUGUAAAGCCCCUUCGACGAGUCGAGUUGUUUGGGAAUGCAGCUCUAAAUGGGAGGUAAAUUUCUUCUAAAGCUAAAUACUGGCCAGAGACCGAUAGCGCACAAGUAGAGUGAUCGAAAGAUGAAAAGCACUUUGGAAAGAGAGUUAAAAAGCACGUGAAAUUGUUGAAAGGGAAGCGCUUGCAGCCAGACUUSCCUGUAGUUGCUCAUCCGGGUUUUUACCCGGUGCACUCUUCUAUAGGCAGGCCAGCAUCAGUUUGGGCGGUUGGAUAAAGGUCUCUGUCACGUACCUCCUCUCGGGGAGAACUUAUAGGGGAGACGUAAUGCAACCAGCCUGGACUGAGGUCCGCGCAUCUGCUAGGAUGCUGGCGUAAUGGCUGUAAGCGGCCCGUCUUGAAACACGGACCAAGGAGUCUAACAUCUAUGCGAGUGUUUGGGUGUCAAGCCCGAGCGCGUAAUGAAAGUGAACGGAGGUGGGAACCUUUCGGGGUGCACCAUCGACCGAUCCUGAUGUCUUCGGAUGGAUUUGAGUAAGAGCAUAGCUGUUGGGACCCGAAAGAUGGUGAACUAUGCUUGAAUAGGGUGAAGCCAGAGGAAACUCUGGUGGAGGCUCGCAGCGGUUCUGACGUGCAAAUCGAUCGUCAAAUUUGGGCAUAGGGGCGAAAGACUAAUCGAACUAUCUAGUAGCUGGUUCCUGCCGAAGUUUCCCUCAGGAUAGCAGUAACGUUUUCAGUUUUAUGAGGUAAAGCGAAUGAUUAGAGGCCUGGGGGUUGAAACAACCUUCACCUAUUCUCAAACUUUAAAUAUGUAAGAAGUCCUUGUUACUUAAUUGAACGUGGACAGUUGAAUGUAUCGUUACUAGUGGGCCAUUUUUGGUAAGCAGAACUGGCGAUGCGGGAUGAACCGAACGCGGGGUUAAGGUGCCAGAAUAUACGCUCAUCAGACACCACAAAAGGUGUUAGUUCAUCUAGACAGCAGGACGGUGGCCAUGGAAGUCGGAAUCCGCUAAGGAGUGUGUAACAACUCACCUGCCGAAUGAACUAGCCCUGAAAAUGGAUGGCGCUCAAGCGUAUUACCCAUACCCCGCCGCUGGGGCAAGAUUUAAGCCCCAGCGAGUAGGCAGGCGUGGAGGUCCGUGACGAAGCCUGGG
rnacentral:rRNA from 1 species